rnacentral:rRNA from 1 species
UACGAAUGGGGCGAGCGUUGUUCGGAAUCACUGGGCGUAAAGCGUGCGUAGGCGGAUGAGAAAGUCAGAAGUGAAAUCCCUGGGCUUAACCCAGGAAUUGCUUUUGAAACUUCUCAUCUUGAGUUCUGGAGGGGUAAGGGGAAUUCCGAGUGUAGAGGUGAAAUUCGCAGAUAUUCGGAGGAACACCAGUGGCGUAGGCGCCUUACUGGACAGAUACUGACGCUGAGGCACGAAAGCAUGGGGAGCAAACAGG